UGGGGAAAAAAAGCACAAUGGGGGAAACCCUGAUGCAGCAACGCCGCGUGAGUGAUGAAGGUUUUCGGAUCGUAAAGCUCUGUCUUUGGGGAAGAUAAUGACGGUACCCAAGGAGGAAGCCACGGCUAACUACGUGCCAGCAGCCGCGGUAAUACGUAGGUGGCGAGCGUUAUCCGGAUUUACUGGGCGUAAAGGGAGCGUAGGCGGAUGAUUAAGUGGGAUGUGAAAUACCCGGGCUCAACUUGGGUGCUGCAUUCCAAACUGGUUAUCUAGAGUGCAGGAGAGGAGAGUGGAAUUCCUAGUGUAGCGGUGAAAUGCGUAGAGAUUAGGAAGAACACCAGUGGCGAAGGCGACUCUCUGGACUGUAACUGACGCUGAGGCUCGAAAGCGUGGGGAGCAAACAG
rnacentral:rRNA from 1 species